rnacentral:tRNA from 1 species
GCCGAUGUGGCGGAAUUGGUAGACGCGCACGCUUCAGGAGCGUGUGAGAUUUUUCUCAUGGAGGUUCGAGUCCUCUCUUCGGCACAA